GUCUUUGCUUCAGCAACACAUAUACUAAAAUUGGAGCGAUGCAGAAAUUAACAUGGCCCCUGUGCAAGGACAUGGAAAUUUGUGAAGCGUUCCAUAUUUUU
rnacentral:snRNA from 1 species